rnacentral:lncRNA from 10 species
CCGCGGAGCCAACUGCAGCAGCAGCGGGCCCAGCCUGCCCCGCAACAGCCAGCGCGGCUCCUGGAGGGAAACGAGCAAGGCGGCCCCGCAGGUGUGGCGCGGCCCUGGGAGGGCGCGUGCGAGCGCUGCUUUGUUUGGUGCCCGCACAGCCCCGGGCUCCAGGCCUGAGCGCCAACCUUCCCGAGCUGAGUCACGGCUGCAGAGCCCGAGGGCGGCCAUACGGCCCCGCCCGGAAGGAUGAGGCCCCUUCCUGAAGCUGGCGAGUCCGAUGCGGUGGCAGGGACAAAAGCCAGGGGAAGGUGGCUUCUAUUCUACAAAGCCCUUUAGGGAAGGGGGGAGUCAGGCCGCCCUCACCCAGUGCAGGUCCGUCACGAUGGUCACCCAGAGCACUCACGCAGAAAGCCAGCUUGCAGCCGCCAGCCCUGAGGAUGCCGCCCCCAAAGGGCUCAUUGCUCUAAUCACCCGUCCAGGGGCUUGAGGCAAAGCUCCAAGACAGACCUGUAGCAGCAUGGCCCAAAAAGUUCCUCUGCUGCCCCAGUCCCAUACCUGCCUGAGGUACGGGGGUUCAGGCUGAGUCGGCUGACCUGGAGUCAUCUGGAAGCCUUGUCAGAAAUGCAGAUUCUGCAGUGCUGUUCCCAGAGGAUGAGAUUCAGCAGAACUGGGUGUUGGAUAUUAUAUGAAGAGAUUUGCAAGUGUUAUUUUACGUAAUUCGCACUUUACAAAGGAGGAAACUGCAGCGCAGAUUAAGCUCACUAAGACAAUAAUCAAAGACCUAUAAAACCGUGAACUUCUUGAGACAAUGAGGAUGCCUCUAACAGACUUGGGAAGAAAUCCUGCACAAAGAGCUGGGGAAAAAAGGGAAGAAAAGCACAUAGAAUACUCCUUCAAGGCAGGCAUUGGCAGACCUUCCACCGUGCACCAGGCUCUGUGCUAAGAUUCACCCUGGAGUAACCCUGCCUCUGGGGGUGAAGUUGCUAUAUCUGGCUGCGUUUUGGCCAGCCGACCCUCUAGGCAGCCCUUAAUUCUUGCUUCUCAAACUUACUUCCAAGGACAGAGAAAGAUGACCACUGCCCUCACCCCACUAAAGAAGCCCCAGCACUUAGCAAGCACUUAUGGCCCAGAGCAGACUGUCUCUACUUCAUUUCACUCUCCACACCCAGACUUGGACCACACUUGGAAAAGAACCAGCCAGUCCUGGAGGCUGCAUAUUGUGGAUAGCAGGACUCCACUCACAUCUCAAAGCUCCUCCCUGCCCAUUCCCAUGGUCCCUCCAGCCCUUGGGCAAUACUACCAAUAAGAAGGAGAAAUGAGCUGGAUUUCACUUCCUUUGGAGCAGGUGUGAAUAAACAGAAUUGUCCCAAACUUGGGCAGCAGAAGUGGGGAAAGAAGAAAGGCAACCGGCCAGGCGCGGUGGCUCACGCCUGUAAUCCCAGCAUUUGGGGAGGCCCAGGCGGAUCACCUGAGGUCAGGAGUUUGAGAACAACCUGGCCAACAUGGUGAAACCCAUCUCUACUAAAAAAAUACAAAAAUUAGCCAGGCAUGAUAGCUACUUGGGAGGCUGAGGCAGGAGAAUCUCUUGAACCCGAGAGGUGGAGUUUGCAGUGAGCUGAGAUCAUGCCACUGCACUCCAGCCUUGGUGACAGAGCGAGACUCCAUCUCAAAAAAAAAAAAAAAAAAAAAAAACCAGAAGAGAGCAACCAAUACUUAUGAAGCCUCUGAUAGUUACUCAAAUGCCACCAGUAAACCCACGAGACGCACAGGCUGGGAUUGGUAAGGCAACUUGCCCAAGGUCACCCAGCUAGAAAAGGCUAGAGGCGGGCGAGAGGGGAGCUCCAGAACCACCCCAAACACACUGCCUCCCCCACACCACUGCCUCCCCAACACUGCCUUCAAGAAAGAGAAAUCGAAGGACCUGGACAAUUUGCAAGCUGACUGCUCAGCUUCUGGACUCAUCCACCGCGUUUGUCAGAAGUCCCUGCAGAUGCCCGGCCACUAUGCCAGUACUCUCGUCUCGGGCUGCACUUGGAACUGGGUGGACAGCUGUAGAAGGACUACUAGUGCCUGGGCCCACCCCUUCUCCCCACCCCCAGUGCCUCACUUAACUGUCUGAGAUUCAGCCUAAGCACUGGGCUUUUAAAGUUCCCAGGUGACCGUUGCCCUCCGGGAUCCAUAUUCUCUUCAUCUGUAAGAUGGGGCUAAUGAUGUCUCCCAAACAGGGUGGUUGUAAGGAUGAAGUGUGAGGGGCCUAGGAAGGGAGGCCUGGAAAGAGGGAAGAGGACUGCUCAUCGCUGGGCUGAGGCUGCAGCCACCCUGUGCUAGGUGCUGUGCUACAGCCUGGGUCACUCUGCCAGGACCUAUAGGCUCCCUGCUUGGGGCAUGGUGCCCUGACCCUCGGCUCACGUCUGCCCAGAUCCUUACAGCUGAUGGAACCCUUUGCUCCAAGAGACGAGGUUGGCACACCGUGGUCUCAAUAAAUGUUUGUCGAGUAAACAGAUGAAGAUGUCCUUCGAUCUUCACAACAGUUUUGAGAAGCAAAAUGAAAAAGGACUCUCCCUUGACCCAAUAGAAAGGGAAGUUUGGACUCACCUCAAGGUGCUGUCACUAGCCAUGUGUUCCAGAGCAGCAACAUAACUUCUCAAAGCCUCUGUCACUUCAUUUGUAAAGCAGGACUUUGUCACUAUUGCUAGGUUAUAGGACUAUCCUGAAGAGCUGCUGAGACAACAUACGGGGGAAACAUUUCUAUAAAUUAUUUUUUGAUGAGGGAAUUGAGGUUUAUAGGGGUUAAGUGACUUGCCCACAGUCAAUCAGUAAAUUGUGAAGCCAAAACUUAAACUCGGGACCAGAGAGUUCCUGGGCGUGAGACAAACAAACGAACAAACAACAACAACAACAACAAAACCCCAAAACACUCAAAUAAUAUGUGGUUGCAGAGAAGGGAUGCAGAUAUUUGAAGAACAGACCUGAGGCUGUGUCAGCCCCCAAGGCACAUCUGAUGGGGAGUGUGUUGAGUUGAACUUUGCAGGAGGGAAGGGCUAGGCCUUUGGUAAAGUUUUUUUUUUUUUUUUUUUUUUUUUGAGACAGGGUCUCCCUCUAUCACCCAGGCUGGAGUGCAGUGGCACCAUCAC